UACGGAGGGUGCAAGCGUUAUCCGGAUUCACUGGGUUUAAAGGGUGCGUAGGCGGGUUGGUAAGUCCGUGGUGAAAUCUCCAAGCUUAACUUGGAAACUGCCGUGGAUACUAUCAAUCUUGAAUGUCGUGGAGGUAAGCGGAAUAUGUCAUGUAGCGGUGAAAUGCUUAGAGAUGACAUAGAACACCAAUUGCGUAGGCAGCUUACUACACGAAUAUUGACGCUGAGGCACGAAAAGCGUGGGGGAGCAAACAGG
rnacentral:rRNA from 1 species